rnacentral:rRNA from 1 species
CAGCAGUGGGGAAUUUUGGACAAUGGGCGAAAGCCUGAUCCAGCAAUGCCGCGUGCAGGACGAAGGCCUUCGGGUUGUAAACUGCUUUUGUACGGAACGAAACGGUCUCUUUUAAUACAGGGGGCUAAUGACGGUACCGUAAGAAUAAGCACCGGCUAACUACGUGCCAGCAGCCGCGGUAAUACGUAGGGUGCAAGCGUUAAUCGGAAUUACUGGGCGUAAAGCGUGCGCAGGCGGUUAUAUAAGACAGAUGUGAAAUCCCCGGGCUCAACCUGGGACCUGCAUUUGUGACUGUAUAGCUAGAGUACGGUAGAGGGGGAUGGAAUUCCGCGUGUAGCAGUGAAAUGCGUAGAUAUGCGGAGGAACACCGAUGGCGAAGGCAAUCCCCUGGACCUGUACUGACGCUCAUGCACGAAAGCGUGGGGAGCAAACAGGAUUAGAUACCCUGGUAGUCCACGCCCUAAACGAUGUCAACUGGUUGUUGGGUCUUCACUGACUCAGUAACGAAGCUAACGCGUGAAGUUGACCGCCUGGGGAGUACGGCCGCAAGGUUGAAACU